CUUCGUUGGGGUUGCGGACAUACAACAUGGAUGCAAUAUCGUAAAUGAAGAGAGUUGGAAAGCUCCGCCAUAGAAGGUAAUAGCCCUGUAGUUGAAACGAGAAAGCUACUAGUAUGAUCCAGAGUACCACGGGACACGUGAAACCCUGUGGGAAGCAGGAGGGACCAUCCUCCAAGCCUAAAUACUACCUAGUGACCGAUAGCGCAUAGUACCGUGAGGGAAAGGUGAAAAGAACCCCGGGAGGGGAGUGAAAUAGAACCUGAAACCCUGCACUUACAAGCUGUGGGAGCACAUUACUUGUGUGACCGCGUACUUUUUGUAGAACGGGCCAACGAGUUACGUUAAGUAGCAAGGUUAAGCACUUAAGGUGUGGAGCCGUAGCGAAAGCGAGUCUUAAAUGGGCGAUUAAGUUACUUGGCGUAGACCCGAAACCGGGCGACCUAUCCAUGAGCAGGUUGAAGCGAAAGUAAAAUUUCGUGGAGGACCGAACCCACGAGCGUUGAAAAGCUCGGGGAUGACUUGUGGAUAGCGGUGAAAUUCCAAUCGAGCCCGGAGAUAGCUGGUUCUCCCCGAAAUAGCUUUAGGGCUAGCCUCAAGCGUAGAGAAACGGAGGUAGAGCACUGAAUGUCCUAGGGGGUAUUGCACUUACCGAAGACUAUCAAACUCCGAAUGCCGUUUUCUUUUACUUGGGAGUCAGACUGUGGGUGAUAAGAUUCAUAGUCAAAAGGGCAACAGCCCAGAUCGUCAGCUAAGGUCCCUAAAUGUACGUUAAGUGGUAAAGGAUGUGGGAUUGCACAGACAACCAGGAUGUUGGCUUAGAAGCAGCCACUCAUUUAAAGAGUGCGUAAUAGCUCACUGGUCGAGUGAUCCUGCGCCGAAAAUUUCCGGGGCUAAAACGUACUACCGAAGCUACGGCAUCAUUUAUGAUGGGUAGGGGAGCUUCGUAUGCAGGCUGAAGCAUGACCGUAAGGACAUGUGGACAGUAUACGAGUGAGAAUGUUGGCAUGAGUAGCGAGACGUGGGUGAGAAUCCCACGGGCCGUAAACCCAAGGUUUCCAGGGGAAGGUUCGUCCGCCCUGGGUUAGUCGGGACCUAAGCCGAGGCCGAAAGGCGUAGGUGAUGGACAACAGGUUGAUAUUCCUGUACCGCCAAUAAGCGUUUGAGAGAUGGAGUGACACAGUAGGAUAAGCUAACCGUACUGUUGGUUAUGUACGGCUAAGCAUUGAGGCAGUCUAAAUAGGCAAAUCCGUUUAGACAAUGCUAGGAUGUGAUGGGGAAGCCCUUCGGGGCGAAGUAGCUGAUUUCACACUGUCAAGAAAAGCUUCUAUCGAGUUUAAAGGCGCCCGUACCGUAAACCGACACAGGUGGGUGAGGAGAGUAUCCUAAGGCCAGCGAGAGAACUAUUGUUAAGGAACUCGGCAAAAUGACCCCGUAACUUAGGGAGAAGGGGUGCCUGUCUAUGACAGGCCGCAGAGAAUAGGCCCAAGCGACUGUUUACCAAAAACACAGGUUUCUGCUAAGUCGCAAGACGAUGUAUAGGAGCUGACGCCUGCCCGGUGCUGGAAGGUUAAGGGGAUCUGUUAGAGCAAUCGAAGCAGUGAACUUAAGCCCCAGUAAACGGCGGCCGUAACUAUAACGGUCCUAAGGUAGCGAAAUUCCUUGUCGGGUAAGUUCCGACCCGCACGAAAGGCGUAACGAUUUGGGCACUGUCUCAACAAUAGACUCGGUGAAAUUGUAAUCCCGGUGAAGAUGCCGGGUACCUGCGACAGGACGGAAAGACCCCAUGGAGCUUUACUGUAGCUUGACGUUGGGUCUUGGUACUACAUGUACAGGAUAGGUGGGAGACUAUGAAGCAUGGACGCCAGUCUGUGUGGAGUCAUCCUUGGGAUACCACCCUUGUAGUACUGGGAUCCUAACCAUAGGCCUUGAAUCAGGUCUUGGAACACCGUCAGGUGGGCAGUUUGACUGGGGCGGUCGCCUCCUAAAAAGUAACGGAGGCGCUCAAAGGUUUCCUCAGCACGGUCGGAAAUCGUGCGAAGAGUGUAAAGGCAAAAGGAAGCUUGAUUGCAAGACAUACAGGUCGAGCAAGGACGAAAGU
rnacentral:rRNA from 1 species